AUUGAACGCUGGCGGCAUGCCUUACACAUGCAAGUCGAACGGCAGCAUGGAAGAGCUUGCUCUUCUGAUGGCGAGUGGCGAACGGGUGAGUAAAGCAUCGGAACGUACCGUGUAGUGGGGGAUAACGUAGCGAAAGUUACGCUAAUACCGCAUACGCACUGAGGUGGAAAGCAGGGGAUCGCAAGACCUUGCGCUAUACGAGCGGCCGAUGUCAGAUUAGCUAGUUGGUAGGGUAAAGGCCUACCAAGGCGACGAUCUGUAGCGGGUCUGAGAGGAUGAUCCGCCACACUGGGACUGAGACACGGCCCAGACUCCUACGGGAGGCAGCAGUGGGGAAUUUUGGACAAUGGGCGAAAGCCUGAUCCAGCCAUGCCGCGUGAGUGAAGAAGGCCUUCGGUUGUAAAGCGUCUUUACCUAGGGUACGAGUAAUGACGGUACCGUGGAGAAUAAGCCCGG
rnacentral:rRNA from 1 species